UUUAAACAAAAUCUUUAAAAUAAGUAAGCACAAGAAAAAGUGCCGAAUUUCAUAUAUAAACCAACGACUUCAUUCAAGAAAUUAUCAUUUCUUCGGAAGAUACAACAUGAACAAGUCACUAGUUCUUCUCUUGCUCGUCAUCGGACUUCUCGUCCUCACUGAAUCCACUGAUGCGUGGCGUCGUCGUCGUCGUCGUCGUCGUACAUGGCUCGGGAACCAAGAAGAGGUUUCAGAUCUUGAAGAAAUGUCAAACACUGAACAAGAAGACAUGAAUGAAGAAGACAUGAAUGAAAACUAAUUUCUUGUCGAUCUAUAACUAAAUAUAGACCAAUGCAAUAAAAUAUAUAUAAAAAAAAACUU